rnacentral:tRNA from 1 species
CCUCUGGUAGCUCAGUUGGUAGAGCGGUGGACUGUAGUCGGUAUUGAUAGUUAUCCAUAGGUCGCUGGUUCAAAUCCGGCCCGGAGGA